UACGAAGGGGGCUAGCGUUGUUCGGAAUUACUGGGCGUAAAGCGCACGUAGGCGGGUUGUUAAGUCAGGGGUGAAAUCCUGGAGCUCAACUCCAGAACUGCCUUUGAUACUGGCAACCUAGAGACUGGAAGAGGUUAGUGGAAUUCCCAGUGUAGAGGUGAAAUUCGUAGAUAUUGGGAAGAACACCAGUGGCGAAGGCGGCUCACUGGCCCGAUACUGACGCUGAGGCACGAAAGCGUGGGGAGCAAACAGG
rnacentral:rRNA from 1 species